rnacentral:rRNA from 1 species
UGGGGAAUUUUGGACAGUGGGCGCAAGCCUGAUCCAGCAAUGCCGCGUGCAGGAUGAAGGCCUUCGGGUUGUAAACUGCUUUUGUACGGAACGAAACGGCUCUGUCUAAUACAUGGGGCUAAUGACGGUACCGUAAGAAUAAGCACCGGCUAACUACGUGCCAGCAGCCGCGGUAAUACGUAGGGUGCGAGCGUUAAUCGGAAUUACUGGGCGUAAAGCGUGCGCAGGCGGUUAUAUAAGACAGAUGUGAAAUCCCCGGGCUCAACCUGGGACCUGCAUUUGUGACUGUAUAGCUAGAGUACGGUAGAGGGGGCUGGAAUUCCGCGUGUAGCAGUGAAAUGCGUUGAUAUGCGGAGGAACACCGGUGGCGAAGGCGAUCCCCUGGACCUGUACUGACGCUCAUGCACGAAAGCGUGGGGAGAAAGCA